UACAUGCUUUUUAAUUUUGACAACAGUUGAAGUAGCUGAAUGUUACUGUUGGGUUAAUUAUUUUUAAAUUAAGGCUUAAAUAUAAGGGCAAACUUGAUCUGCUGUAUUUUCACGUUCUUAUAACAACAUCGGUUUUCAUAAACCAGAUGGUGCAACUCAGAGCAUUUCUAAUAAAUAUGGAGUGAUGAAGAGGUUACUGUUUGAAUCUUUUAGUAUACAGAUGCAUCUCAGGGACUUCGUUAUAGAUUCUUCUAUUCCAUUAUAGUUGGAUCUUGUAUUCAGGCAAAAAAAUAACAAUCCUGUCUUCUUAGUCUUACUGUGUGUGUUUGAAUGGGAGGGAGGGUUGGAGCGGGGAGAAGGAAAUAUGUUAAGAUUUCACAAAGUAUUGCAACAGAUGGUUGCCUUGAUUCAAUUCAAUACAGGAGCUACAAUUCCAACUCCUGUAGAAUUGGCUUUGCAAACCUGUUACUGGAAUGUCUUAGUUGCCUAUUUAAAAGUGAAACAUAAAUUCAAGGUGUUACUAUCCAAAGAGGUAUUGGAGAGGUUCAAGGCAGAGCUUCUUGGCCAGUAAACAUUGCCUGGGCAUGCAGGUACACUUCAAUCUGUAAUCCUGUAAAGAAGUGCAGGAGGAUGCUUGAAGGGAAGUGCUUUCUGCCGACUGAGGGAGGCAAAAAUAUCUAGGCUUUCUGAAAUGCUGCUGCUGGGCCAGAUCUUCUAAUUAUAGCUCUAAAAUGACAAGUGCUUGGUAGCCUGGAAGCCAAAUGCAGUGUUCCACAACUGGCCAUUUAAAGUCAUGGCAUGAUGGAUGCUGCCCUGGGUGUGCUGGUGGCUGCUUCUGGUCAUGAUUUUUCCCUGCCUUGCAGUUUAGCUCUCUGAACGUGCAUUUCAUUUCCACUCGUAACUGCCUCUCAGUGUUUUGUGCCUUCUGCAGCACCUGAGCCCUGGUAAGGGUUCCAGCUGAGUGUUACGUACAGAAAUCUGUUUCAGAGUUUUCCUCAGCGAAUUACACAGCUAUAAUGAAGUUGCACAACUGUUCUGCCACCGUGAUUUUCCCUUCGUUUGUAUAUUGCCAGAAAUAGAGUGAAAGGUAGAAUGGAACAGUAUUGGCAGGUAUCACAGCUUUUCAGCCCUUAGUGACUUGGACCAUUAGUUACAGUGCCAAAUAUUAUAUGGUGAGCUUCUUGUUAGAAACCGCAUUGAAAUUUGUGUUGUGAAGGUGAUCAGUCAUCUUUUGUAGGAACAGUUUUUGUCUACAAGGAGACUGGUGCUGACUCCGUGGUAAAAGACUUUGUAUUCUUUACAGAGCCAACUUUUCUUCCUCUUUGUUUUAAAAAUGCUUUGAUACGUUUUUAGUCUGUAAUGACAGGGCACAUGCUAUGCACUAAAAUUGAAUCUUUUAUGUAAGUCAGUGAUACCAAAAUGAAAUUGGUAACACUGUUGGAAUAAGUUGCUGAAACAGACUUUUGUAUUUCUUGGUAUAAUGUGCAAUAUCAACUUUUCCUAAUUAAAAAUGCAAUGUAUGCGUAAUUGUUUUUCCAUGAAGUAUUUAAUUGUGGAUGGGAAAUCUUUAAAAGGACCAAAUGCUCUUCAUGAAAUGUCCUGAAUUUUCAACACUGAGCUUAAAUUUUAUGAAUCUGCAUUAAAAAAUAGUGUAUUUGA
ensembl:lncRNA